rnacentral:rRNA from 1 species
UAGAUACCCUGGUAGUCCACGCCCUAAACGAUGCGAACUGGAUGUUGGGUUCAAUUUGGGACUCAGUAUCGAAGCUAACGCGUUAAGUUCGCCGCCUGGGGAGUACGGUCGCAAGACUGAAACUCAAAGGAAUUGACGGGGGCCCGCACAAGCGGUGGAGUAUGUGGUUUAAUUCGAUGCAACGCGAAGAACCUUACCUGGUCUUGACAUCCGCGGAACUGCCCAGAGAUGGGCGGGUGCCUUCGGGAGC